rnacentral:rRNA from 1 species
GAUGAACGCUGGCGGCGUGCCUAAUACAUGCAAGUCGAGCGAACAGACGAGGAGCUUGCUCCUCUGACGUUAGCGGCGGACGGGAGAGUAACGCGUGGAUAACCUACCUAUAAGACUGGGAUAACUUCGGGAAACCGGAGCUAAUACCGGAUAACAUGUUGCACCGCAUGGUUCAACAGUGAAAGACGGUCUUGCUGUCACUUAUAGAUGGAUCCCCGCCGCAUUAGCUAGUUGGUAAGGUAACGGCUUACCAAGGCAACGAUGCGUAGACGACGUGAUAGGGUGAUCGGCCACACGGGAACGGAGACAGGGUCCAGACGCCUACGAGACGCAGCAGUAGGGAAUCUGCCGCAAUGGGCGAAAGCCUGACGGAGCAACGGCGCGCGAGAGAAGAAGGUCUUCGGAUCGUAAUACUCUGUUAAUAGUGAAGAACAAAUGUGGAAGGAACUAUGCACGGCGUGACGGUACCUGAUCAGAAAGCCACGGCUAACUACGUG